UUCUAUCUGUAUCUGUGUGACCGACUGACUGGCUGUAUCCCUCCCUUCAACUCCGUGCUCCACCCUUUACCACACCACUCUCUCCGACCAAGCAUGACCUCUCCCACUGAUUCCGAGCGACCAACUCUACCCUCCCAAGAGGAUAACAUGCCUGAAGACAACCAGCAAAACCCACAAGACCCACAAGACCCACAAGACCCAGAGUCUCAUCCCCAAUCCCCCCAAACCCUAAUCCUAGAACCCCCGAAUCGCCACCAAAACGAUCAAGACCCGCAAAAUCCACCCGACUUACAAAAUCCGCAAGACCCAUUUGAGCAAACCCAAAUCCAGGACGACCCAGAUCCUUUGCCGGCCCUCUCUCCCCAAAUCGCCGACCCUCACGUGUCCGCCAACGCCACCGCCACCGCCACUGCCACCUCCACCACCACCACCACCACCGCCUCCGCCUCUCGCCGAGCCCCGAAACGCAAGAAAAACGCGCAGAAGCGCCGUCUCGAGCGAGAGAAGUCCCAGAAGAAGCUCGAGAUUCUCGUCGAAACGCUCAAGCCCAUCCCUUUCGUUCCCUCCAAAACCCUAGACUUCGAGAGCCACGAGAAGCUGCUGAGGCGGCUUGGCCUAUGGGACUUUGUCCACAUCGAGUUCGACAAGAACCUCCGAGCCGACCUCCUCGCGCAGCUGAUAGCCAAUUACAGCCCCCAAAAGCGGUGUAGCUACGUGAACUCGGCUCGGGUCAACGUCAACCGGGCCGAUUUGGCACGUGCAUUAAAGUUGCCAUUGCCGGCGAAGAAGAACGUGGUGCUGCUGGACGAGGAAUCCGAGGCGGAGGUGGGGGGAUCGGUGGCGGAGUCGGUAGGGUUCGUGGAGGAUUUUGUGUCUAAUUGGGUGCUUUUGCACGAGGAUACGUGGAUGAUGCCGAACGAGGUGUUGAAUUGGACCAAAGUGAUCAAGGAAGGGCAUUUCGAGAAGGUGGAUUGGGCUAGUUUGAUCUGGUUCAUGGUAGAGAAGGAGCUGGUGCAGGCGCAGAAGCUCACAAAUUGCUACUACGCCUCGCAUUUGCAGUAUCUGAUAAGGUGGAAGCACGAUCAGUUGCUCAAGGAAGAGUCUAAUGUACAGGAGGUUGAGGUGGAGGUGGAGGAGGUUGAGGUGAAGGAGGAGGAGGACGAAGAUGAGGAGGAUUUGGAUGGUAGUGGGGAUGUGAAGAUGGGUGAGGUUGAAGAGUUUCGGGGUCGCGAAUUGGAGGAGAAUAGUAUUGAAUUGAGUCUUGGGCAAGAUAAUGUGGAGAGAGUGGAACAGAAGGUUGAGAGAAUUGAAGAAAUGGUUGAGAGUGUUGAGGAGAAGGUUGAGAGUGUUGAGGAGAAGGUUGAGAGAGUUGAAGAGAAGGUUGAGAGAGUCGAAGAGAAGGUUGAGAGAGUUGAAGAGAAGGUAGAGGUUGAUGAUGUUGAUGUUAAUGUUGAGAAGGAGCGUGGUGGGAAUGGGGAUAUUAUGGAUUUUGAGGAAUGUAGGGAGGGGUAUAAGGAGGAGGAAGGAGGUGGGCAAUGGCUUUUUGAUAGGAAGAGCAAUCUUGGCGAUAUGGCAGAGUCCUUUCUGAGGCCGUGUAGUGUUGGUGAAGUUAAAGGAUUGGAUUGUGAGGAGGAAAAGAGAGAAGAAGUGGAAGAAGGAGAGGAAGAAGGAGAGGAAGAAGGACAAGAGGAGGAAGGGGAAGAAGAAGAAGAAGAAGAAGAAGAAGAAGGGGGGCAAGAGGUUUGUGGGUUUCAUCUUUCGCCUAAGUGCAAUACGCUAGAGGGGUUGGCUUCAGGGAGUCUAAUUCAGGAAAUGGAAGGGGCACAAAUGCCUUUUAGCACAGAGUUGGAACUCCGUGAUCAUUCGGCGGGGGGGUUUUUAACAUCUAGGGAUGACAGUAGGAUGAUUUCUGGUGGUUCAUCGCUUUUUUGUAAUAAUAAUAAGAGAGGGAUUGGUCAUGAGAAUGACAACAUUCAUAAUUCUCUUAAUGAAGGUAAUAAAAGGUUGAGGAGUGAUGGGCCCUGGGAUGGUAAAGUGGCUGAUUUUGAUAUGUGUAUGGAUCAAGUACAGCAUUGGGUCGGGAAAGCUAGGAUGAUGUAUGCUGCGAAAGAACAGGCUUGUGGGGAUGCUACUGUGAACCAGCAGAUCUUGCUAAAUGAGUUGCAGCAGCGGGAUAGUUUGAUUGAACACUUGCGUGCAGCUAAGUUUGAAGAUCAACAAAAAAGACAAGUGGAGUUGUAUAGGCUUGAUCGUGAAGUCUACAUGAUGGGACAUCUGUUGGAUGGCUAUAGGAAGGCCUUGAAGGAAGUUCAUGGAGCAUUUGCUGAAUACAGAGCACGCUGUCCGCAGCCUGAAGAGCCACUUUACAAGGAUGUUCCUCAAUCUGGAGGUCUUGUUCUCAGCUCCAUGGAGCUAGAAAAGCAACGCUUGAAGCAAGAAGAAGAAGACAGGAUGAACCGUUUGGUGAUCGAGAAGAAGGUUAAAGUCUUUGAAGGAGGAUGGAAGAGUAAAUUUGAAGCACAUUUGGAAGGGGUUGAUUUGCUUGGUAAUAGGCUGCUGAAUGUUGAGAAUGAAGUGAAACUACUUAAGGAAUCAUUAGCAACACGUAAAGUUUCGGAAAUAUCAGAUGGAACUCCCAAUGAAUGAUGCACUACUGAACCCUUGAAGCAAGGGACAAGAUAUUGCUUGAAGAGCUUGUUGAUGUACAUUUUCCACUAGUUGAGUGCGUGGAUAGGUUGGCCAUCUUCUCCUGAUAACAUGCAACAACUCCCACUGGCAUGCUGGUUAAAACUUAGUAAUUUUAUCUGGAGCAGUGGGCACAAUGACAUCUCGGCAGGGUUGGUAUUUGUAGCCUGCAAACUUUUUCUACCAAGAUGUAUAAAGUAGCAGUACGUGGCAUUGAAAGAGAUACAGGAGGAAAGAAUGUCCAAAUAUGUUAUUGGGUUGACAUGAAGCCGUCAUUUAAUUGCGGGUAGAGGUUCGAUUUUAACUUAUAUUGUGGGGGAGAUAUAUAGAGAAUUAACCAUGUCAGCAUGUAUCCUUGAUGAAACAGAAAUUGUGCUAUGUUAUUAUUUGAAACCCCUAGUGUAUAGGGUGGAGUAAUUUCUCAGAAGUAGUGGACAAAAGUUACAUAUUUUUAUCUAUAAAUAUGCAACUCUUGCUCUUGGAAGUUA